rnacentral:lncRNA from 1 species
UUGAUUGAUGAUAAAAAUGUGUUAAAGGUUGGUGGUGGAGUAGGUAAAAGGGUAAGAGGAGAAGUUCUCAAAAGAAUCAAUAAAAGGGUGGUGGUGGUGGUGAUGCAUAUGAGAUUCCAAAGACAGGUGGUAUAGGCCCUUCAUAUACAGGUGGUGGUGGCGGCGAUGAAUAUACCGGUGGUGGAGGUGAGGGAUAUGCAUAUACUGGUGAUGGUGGGGGUGAGGUGUAUACCGGUGGUGGCGGUGAGGGAUAGGCAUAUACUGGUGAUGGUGGUGGUGAUGGGGAUGGUGGUGGGUGAUAAGGUGUUUGAUGUGGCGCUGGCGAUGAUGGUGGUGGAGGUUCUACACAAGGUGGCGGUGGAGGUGGUGGAGGUUCUACACAAGGUGGUGGAGAUGGCGGUGGUGGUGAAUAGACUGGUGGUGGAGGUGAGUGUACUGGAGGAGGUGGUGGGGGUGAUAAAUAUGGAUAUACGGGUGGAGGAGGUGAGUGAGGUGGUGGUGGUGGCGAA